UACGUAGGUGGCAAGCGUUGUCCGGAUUUAUUGGGCGUAAAGAGCGUGUAGGCGGCUAGAUAGGUCCGUUGUGAAAACUCGAGGCUUAACCUCGAGAUGUCAUCGGAAACCAUCUGGCUAGAGUCCGGAAGAGGAGAGUGGAAUUCCUGGUGUAGCGGUGAAAUGCGCAGAUAUCAGGAAGAACACCAAUGGCGAAAGCAGCUCUCUGGGACGGUACUGACGCUGAGACGCGAAAGCGUGGGGAGCGAACAGG
rnacentral:rRNA from 1 species